UACGGGGGGGGCAAGCGUUGUUCGGAAUUACUGGGCGUAAAGGGCUCGUAGGCGGCCAACUAAGUCAGACGUGAAAUCCCUCGGCUUAACCGGGGAACUGCGUCUGAUACUGGAUGGCUUGAGUUCGGGAGAGGGAUGCGGAAUUCCAGGUGUAGCGGUGAAAUGCGUAGAUAUCGGGAGGAACACCAGUGGCGAAGGCGAUCACCUGGGGUUGUUCUGACGCUGAGGAGCGAAAGCUAGGGGAGCAAACGGG
rnacentral:rRNA from 1 species